UCAAACUUGCCCUUGCCCUUACCUUUACCCUUGGAUAUUGGCGGGAGUUUGAAGCUUGAAGCCAGGCGUACUCUCUGCUCGCUACUCCAACAAGUCAAUUCAAAUAACAAAUUAUAAAGUAAAAAGUCUUAUUUAAUUGCAUAAGCCCU